rnacentral:rRNA from 1 species
CUACGGGAGGCAGCAGUGGGGAAUAUUGCACAAUGGGCGCAAGCCUGAUGCAGCCAUGCCGCGUGUAUGAAGAAGGCCUUCGGGUUGUAAAGUACUUUCAGCGGGGAGGAAGGGAGUAAAGUUAAUACCUUUGCUCAUUGACGUUACCCGCAGAAGAAGCACCGGCUAACUCCGUAGCCAGCAGCCGCGGUAAUACGGAGGGUGCAAGCGUUAAUCGGAAUUACUGGGCGUAAAGCGCACGCAGGCGGUUUGUUAAGUCAGAUGUGAAAUCCCCGGGCUCAACCUGGGAACUGCAUCUGAUACUGGCGAGCUUGAGUCUCGUAGAGGGGGGUAGAAUUCCAGGUGUAGCGGUGAAAUGCGUAGAGAUCUGGAGGAAUACCGGUGGCGAAGGCGGCCCCCUGGACGAAGACUGACGCUCAGGUGCGAAAGCGUGGGGAGCAAACAGGAUUAGAUACCCCAGUAGUC